GUUCUUGGCUGUCAUGAUGAUGAAGGCGUUCCCUACAGACAUGGAACAAAGUUCUAUGUGAGCCCCGCCCUCUUUGAGUCUGAUUUAAGGAUGAGACUCAGCCUCAACCAGCAGAACUUCAGCUUCAGCUGCUCUGUCUGGUCCUGCUCCAGACCGUCUUCAGAGGAAACAACUUCUCCCAGAAGUCUAAGGGAAGAAACUUUUCCUCCUUUUGCAACAAAUUCAGACAUUUAGCUUCAAGUCAACGACAACAUGUCAUACAUGUCACCAAUGAGCAUUGUUGGUGGACAAGGAGGAUGUCCAUUUAAUUUUAUUGGUGCAAAAACUGGAGCUCUGCUUAAAAAGCUGGAUGUCUGUGUCGGACCAACCCAAGUGAGAUCUAUAACGGUCCUGAUGUCUGACGAUGUUAAAGAGACAUUUGGGACAUCAAAGGGAGCCAAUGAUAAAAUGCUCUCUUUCGAUUUUGAGGGAGAUGAAUAUUUUUCCUUACUCACUCUUUGGCCCAACAAUAAUGGAGAAUAUCUGGGUGGCAUUAAAUUCAAAACAACAAAGGGAAACACUUUUGAGGCUGUUAUGACAAAUGGAAAACUUUCAAUGCCGCCGACAAAAGUAGAUGUUGGCUCUGGAAUGUGUUUUGGAGUUCAGGGCAGGUCAGGAACCGAAGUUGAUGCACUUGGGUUCAUGUUAAUCAAAGAUCCUUAGUAAGUUCCUAACCGGUUCUAGAGGGCUAGAUGGUGAAACAACAACCUGUGUGGGUUCAGCUUCUUAAUGAGGACAGAAAUAAAUGUGUUUGACAGAAAUGAUUUCAACUUCUAGCCUCCAGACAAAGACAACAGCUAAUGAUAUCUGCUGUCAUGAAAAGGGUUUGGUUCUUUGAAACAAUCAGAUGACAUCUUUGAACAGAUGUGUUCCUGCUGCAUCUGUGGCUGAUGGGGACAAUCACCUCUUUGAUGGUUUCUCUUUGAUUUCUUCAUCUGGUUUGUGGUUUUUUCUUGGACUUUUACUGCAGUUUUCUGAAUGUUUGCAUCAGAUUUUUGGAUUUGCUGUCAUUUUUCCUGCUGUACUGAGAAACUCCUGAUGGUUUUCCUGUUAUUGUCACUGGAAUCCAAUGUUUCUGUUGUCCUCAUCAUCUCUUCUGGAAAUGGCAUUCUAUCAGUAAAUCUUGUUGGUGUGGACGCUGGAAAAAGCCCUUCAGUUCAUGUCAAAUCACUGUUUGUGCUCAUCUAGUCUGUAUGAUUUGGAAAAUAAAAACCUCAACCAAA